GGGAACAGAGGAAACCAAUUGUCAAAAAAACCUCCAGAAAGUGUCAUAUCUUAGUAAAUGUUGGGGAUAGCCAGAAAGACGCAGAGCCUUGAUGUAUGCCAGUGCGUUUCCUUUUUCCUUCCCUUUCUUUAAUUCUCCAGUGAUCUUUAAGCGACUGGGUAAAGAGGACUGGGGAGAAUAUUUUCUUAAGAGUCGAUCAGAGCAGCAUCUUUUCCAACCAACAGAUUAAUAAACAAACAAGCACAGAAAGAAAGAAAGAAAGAAAGAAAGAAAGAAAGAAACUCAAAGUCAUUCAUCAAGGGAGGAAAGCGCGAGCCGCGGACCAGCUGUCAAUCACUGUGGAGAAGCGCCGGUGUGAAGAACAGCCUAAACUUGCAGCAUGGCCAAACUGAUUACUGGUGAGGCACGACUCAGGCACGAGCAUUGCAAUAUAUCACCCACUGCACUGCUCACCCAUAAUGCUCCACUGUGUGCUGCUCUGCACGCUUGACACUAUUGGAAUAAAGAGAUCCUUAAACAGAA